GACGAACGCGGGCGGCGUGCUAAUACAUGCAAGUAGAACGCACAGGAUGCACCGUAGUCUACUACACCGUAUUCUGUGAGUUGCGAACGGGUGAGUAACGCGUAGGUAACCUGCCUGGUAGCGGGGGAUAACUAUUGGAAACGAUAGCUAAUACCGCAUAAGAACAUUUACUGCAUGGUAGAUGUUUAAAAGGUGCAAAUGCAUCACUACCAGAUGGACCUGCGUUGUAUUAGCUAGUUGGUGAGGUAACGGCUCACCAAGGCAACGAUACAUAGCCGACCUGAGAGGGUGAUCGGCCACACUGGGACUGAGACACGGCCCAGACUCCUACGGGAGGCAGCAGUAGGGAAUCUUCGGCAAUGGGGGGAACCCUGACCGAGCAACGCCGCGUGAGUGAAGAAGGUUUUCGGAUCGUAAAGCUCUGUUGUUAAGGAAGAACGUGUGUGAGAGUGGAAAGUUCACACAGUGACGGUACUUAACCAGAAAGGGACGGCUAACUACGUGCCAGCAGCCGCGGUAAUACGUAGGUCCCGAGCGUUGUCCGGAUUUAUUGGGCGUAAAGCGAGCGCAGGCGGUUAGAUAAGUCUGAAGUGAAAGGCAGUGGCUCAACCAUUGUAGGCUUUGGAAACUGUUUAACUUGAGUGCAGAAGGGGAGAGUGGAAUUCCAUGUGUAGCGGUGAAAUGCGUAGAUAUAUGGAGGAACACCGGUGGCGAAAGCGGCUCUCUGGUCUGUAACUGACGCUGAGGCUCGAAAGCGUGGGGAGCGAACAGG
rnacentral:rRNA from 1 species